rnacentral:tRNA from 1 species
GGAGGGGUGGCUGAGCGGUUGAAAGCAGCAGUCUUGAAAACUGCCGACCGACGAGGUCCGUGGGUUCGAAUCCCACCCCCUCCGCCA